rnacentral:rRNA from 1 species
AAAUGAAUUGACGGGGACCCGCACAAGCAGCGGAGCAUGUGGUUUAAUUCGAAGCAACGCGAAGAACCUUACCAGGACUUGACAUCCUCUGCAUUACCCUUAAUCGGGGAAAUCCCUUCGGGGACAGAGAGACAGGUGGUGCAUGGUUGUCGUCAGCUCGUGUCGUGAGAUGUUGGGUUAAGUCCCGCAACGAGCGCAACCCUUGUCUUUAGUUGCCAGCACUUUGGGUGGGCACUCUAAAGAGACCGCCGAGGAUAACUCGGAGGAAGGUGGGGAUGACGUCAAAUCAUCAUGCCCCUUAUGUUCUGGGCUACACACGUGCUACAAUGGCUGGUACAACGGGUAGCGAAAGAGUAAUCUGGAGCCAAUCUUAAAAGCCAGUCUCAGUUCGGAUUGUGGGCUGCAACUCGCCCACAUGAAGCUGGAGUUGCUAGUAAUCGCGGAUCAGAAUGUCGCGGUGAAUGCGUUCCCGGGUCUUGUACACACCGCCCGU